rnacentral:rRNA from 1 species
CAGCCGCCGCGGUAAUGCGUAGGUGGCAAGCGUUGUCCGGAAUUAUUGGGCGUAAAGGGCUCGCAGGCGGUUUCUUAAGUCUGAUGUGAAAGCCCCCGGCUCAACCGGGGAGGGUCAUUGGAAACUGGGAAACUUGAGUGCAGAAGAGGAGAGUGGAAUUCCACGUGUAGCGGUGAAAUGCGUAGAGAUGUGGAGGAACACCAGUGGCGAAGGCGACUCUCUGGUCUGUAACUGACGCUGAGGAGCGAAAGCGUGGGGAGCGAACAGGAUUAGAUACCCCUGUAGUCCCUGUCUCUUAUAA